rnacentral:rRNA from 1 species
UGUGUCCUACGGGAGGCAGCAGUGAGGAAUAUUGGUCAAUGGCCGAGAGGCUGAACCAGCCAAGUCGCGUGAGGGAAGACGGCCCCACGGGUUGUAAACCUCUUUUGUCGGGGAGCAAAGCGAACCACCUGUGGUUCAUUGAGAGUACCCGAAGAAAGAGCAUCGGCUAACUCCGUGCCAGCAGCCGCGGUAAUACGGAGGAUGCGAGCGUUAUCCGGAUUUAUUGGGUUUAAAGGGUGCGCAGGCGGAGGUGCAAGUCAGCGGGCAAAUUGCUGGGCUCAACCCCGUACUGCCG